AUUGAACGCUGGCGGUAGGCCUAACACAUGCAAGUCGAACGCGAAAGUCCUUCGGGAUGAGUAGAGUGGCGGACGCGUGAGUAACGCGUAGGAAUCUAUCCUGUAGUGGGGGAUAACGUUUCGAAAGGAACGCUACUACCGCAUACCCCCCAAGGGGGAACGCGGGGGCUCUUCGGACCUCGUGCUAUAGGAGGAGCCUGCGUCGGCUUAGCUAGUUGGUGAGGAAAAGGCUCACCAAGGGGACGAUCCGUAGCUGGUCUGAGAGGAUGAUCAGCCACACCGGAACUGAGACACGGUCCGGACUCCUACGGGAGGCAGCAGUGGGGAAUAUUGCGCAAUGGGCGAAAGCCUGACGCAGCCAUACCGCGUGUGUGAAGAAGGCCUUCGGGUUGUAAAGCACUUUCAGUGGGGAGGAAAAGCUGGUGGCUAAUAUCCAUCGGCCGUGACGCUACCCACAGAAGAAGCACCGGCUAAUUCCGUGCCAGCAGCCGCCGUAACAC
rnacentral:rRNA from 1 species